rnacentral:misc_RNA from 1 species
AACUGAUACUACCUGCGGGAACCUGCGGAGGGAUCAUUACAGAGUUCGUGCCCUCGCGGGUAGAUCUCCCACCCUUGUGUAUUCCUUACAUUUGUUGCUUUGGCAGGCCGUUGGUUCGCCAACCACCGGCUCUACGGGCUGGUGCGUGCCUGCCAGAGGACCCCCCAAACUCGGUUUGUUCGUGUCGUCUGAGUACCAUAACAAUCGUUAAAACUUUCAACAAUGGAUCUCUAGAUCGGA